rnacentral:misc_RNA from 1 species
GAAAUGCGAUAAGUAGUGUGAAUUGCAGAAUUCAGUGAAUCAUCGAAUCUUUGAACGCACAUUGCGCCCCUUGGUAUUCCAUGGGGCAUGCCUGUUCGAGCGUCAUUUGUACCUUCAAGCUUUGCUUGGUGUUGGGUGUUUGUCCCCGUCUCCGCGCGUGGACUCGCCCCAAAGUGAUUGGCAGCCGGCGUACUGGUCCCGGAGCGCAGCACAUGUCGCGCAAACGAGUGCCUUGGUACGGCGGCGUCCAUAAGCCCCUCUCUCACGCUCUUGACCUCGGAUCAGGUAGGGAUACCCGCUGAACUUAAGC